GCCUGGAUAGUUUAGUUGGAGCAUGGUGCUGAUAACGCCAAGGUUGCAGGUUCGAUCCCCGCAUGGGACA